rnacentral:misc_RNA from 1 species
UCCUCGUUUAAGCGAGGCAGUCUGUCCAGAGUGCUCCCGACUCUCGCCGGGGUGGCAACAGGACACAAGGGUUGCGCUCGUUGCGGGACUUAACCCAACAUCUCACGACACGAGCUGACGGCAGCCAUGCAGCACCUGUGUUCCGGUUCCCUUUCGGGCACAGCCACCUCUCAGCAGUCUUCCAGACAUGUCAAGGGUAGGUAAGGUUGUUCGCGUUGCAUCGAAUUAAUCCACAUCAUCCACCGCUUGUGCGGGUCCCCGUCAAUUCCUUUGAGUUUUAACCUUGCGGCCGUACUCCCCAGGCGGUCAACUUCACGCGAUAGCUACGGUACCAAGGAAUCGCUUCCCCAACACCCAGUUGACAUCGUUUAGGGCGUGGACUAC